rnacentral:rRNA from 1 species
UACGUAGGCAGCGAGCGUUGUUCGGAAUUACUGGGCGUAAAGGGUUCGUAGGCGGUCCCUUAAGUUUGGUGUGAAAUCUCCCGGCUCAACUGGGAGGGUGCGCCGGAUACUGGGGGGCUAGAGUGCGGGAGAGGAAAGUGGAAUUCCUGGUGUAGCGGUGAAAUGCGUAGAUAUCAGGAGGAACACCGGUGGUGUAAACGGCUUUCUGGACCGUAACUGACGCUGAGGCACGAAAGCGUGGGGAGCAAACAGG